rnacentral:rRNA from 1 species
UACGUAGGGUGCGAGCGUUGUCCGGAAUUAUUGGGCGUAAAGAGCUUGUAGGCGGUCUGUCGCGUCUGCUGUGAAAAUCCGGGGCUCAACCCCGGACUUGCAGUGGGUACGGGCAGACUAGAGUGUGGUAGGGGAGACUGGAAUUCCUGGUGUAGCGGUGAAAUGCGCAGAUAUCAGGAGGAACACCGAUGGCGAAGGCAGGUCUCUGGGCCACUACUGACGCUGAGGCACGAAAGCGUGGGUAGCAAACAGG